AAAAUAUACUUUUACUACUUUACCAACCACAAGAGUAACAUACAUAAGAACGUAAAUGUAUAUCCUUUUAUUAUUAUAAUUAAAAAGGGAAAUAUAAAAUGUAAAAUUUAUUGCUAUAUAAAUUAUAUGUUAAUAAUAAAUACUUAAAAGUUCAACGGUAAUAUAUAUAUAUAUAUAUAUAUAUAUACAAAAUAAACGCUACAAUACUUUUGUUCAUUUGUAUAUUUUCUUUAUUUCACAUUUAACCAUUUUUAAUUAAAUAAAAACUUCAUUUACUUUCAAAUGUCCUUAUAAAUAUAAAAGUAUAUUAAAAAAUAUCCUUUUCUUACGAAAAAAAUAUAAUAAAAUAAAAACAUAGUAACUCUUAAUUUAUAAAUAUAUUCUGAUGAAUAUUAUUACUAAAAAUAUUUUCUUUUUGUUGAUAUUAUUAAUAAAUACAUUUAUAAAGCCAAGGUAAUACAGAUUUAAAUAUAAUAUAUAUAUCUAUAUCAAAAUAAUUGAGAAAACUAAAAAAAAAAAAAAAAAAGAAAAAUAUUCUCUUUAAUAUUGAAACAAUAUAUAAUAUUAUUACAUAAUAAAUAUUUUGUUUUUGGAACUAAUAAGGAUCGUUAUAAAAUAAAUAUUAGCAACAUAAAAAAUAAGAUGAUUAAGAAUAUUUAAAAUAUAAUAUAUAAUAUAUAUAUAUAUGAAUACUUUUGAGAGCUUGCGAAUAAAAUUUUUUCCUUUUUAUUACGAAAAAAAAAAAAUUAAAGU